rnacentral:rRNA from 1 species
AUGUCCUACAUCAUAGCCAACCAAAAGUGGGUCAAUGCAAAUAAAAAAUGCAUGGCCUUUAUAAAGAAUACCAUUGAGAGCAACAUUGUGGGCUCCAUUGCAGAGUGCACUUCAGCAGCUGAGUUGCUGACAAAGAUAAAGAGCCAGUUCACUGGCUCUUCAAAGAUAUAUGCCACUCAGGUGUUAAAACAACUUGUGACGGAACAGUACACGGGUGGUGGAAUAAGAGAGCACAUCUUGAGGAUGAGCAAUAUGGCAGCAAAGUUAAAGCCUAUGGAUGAGGAUCUGGAGAUCAAACCAAAGCUCCUGAUCCACCUUGUCAUGGCUUCACUGCCAAAGGAGUUUGAAACUUUUGUUGUGAAUUAUAAUAUGUCACCUGGAACAUGGGACAUAGAAAAGACAAUUGCUAUGUGUGUCCAAGAAGAGGACAGACUAAAAGCUUCACAUGGUGGAACACUCAACUAUGUGAAGGAUCAUAAGAAAAAAACUACAGUCAAAACAACAAAAGUUCUCCUUCAAAGCCACAAGGAAAAGCUCCCUAUUAGCAUCAGCGUCAGCAACAGUCUUUCCCAGUGGACAAAGACACUUGUCUCCACUGUAAGCAGACCG